rnacentral:tRNA from 1 species
CGUAGCUCAAUUGGUAGAGCACCGGUCUCCAAAACCGGGGGUUGGGGGUUCGAUCCCCUCCGG